AGAGUUUGAUCAUGGCUCAGAUUGAACGCUGGCGGCAGGCUUAACACAUGCAAGUCGAACGAUGAAACUCUAGCUUGCUAGAGAUGAUUAGUGGCGGACGGGUGAGUAACAUUUAGGAAUCUGCCUAGUAGUGGGGGAUAGCUCGGGGAAACUCGAAUUAAUACCGCAUACGACCUACGGGUGAAAGGGGGCGCAAGCUCUUGCUAUUAGAUGAGCCUAAAUCAGAUUAGCUAGUUGGUGGGGUAAAGGCCUACCAAGGCGACGAUCCGUAGCGGGUCUGAGAGGAUGAUCCGCCACACUGGGACUGAGACACGGCCCAGACUCCUACGGGAGGCAGCAGUGGGGAAUUUUGGACAAUGGGCGAAAGCCUGAUCCAGCCAUGCCGCGUGAGUGAAGAAGGCCUUCGGGUUGUAAAGCUCUUUCGGUGGGGAAGAAAUUGCAUGGGCUAAUACCCUGUGUAGAUGACGGUACCUGGAGAAGAAGCACCGGCUAACUACGUG
rnacentral:rRNA from 1 species